CAGCAGUAGCCGCGGGAAUACAGAGGUUGCGAGCGUUAAUCGGAUUUACUGGGCGUAAAGCGUGCGUAGGCGGCUUCUUAAGUCGGAUGUGAAAUCCCUGAGCUUAACUUAGGAAUUGCAUUCGAUACUGGGAAGCUAGAGUAUGGGAGAGGAUGGUAGAAUUCCAGGUGUAGCGGUGAAAUGCGUAGAGAUCUGGAGGAAUACCGAUGGCGAAGGCAUCCAUCUGGCCUAAUACUGACGCUGAGGUACGAAAGCAUGGGGAGCAAACAGGAUUAGAUACCCCAGUAGUCCCUGUCUCUUAUAC
rnacentral:rRNA from 1 species